rnacentral:rRNA from 1 species
CAGUCGCCGCGGGAAUACAGAGGGUGCGAGCGUUAAUCGGAUUUACUGGGCGUAAAGCGUGCGUAGGCGGCUAAUUGAGUCGGAUGUGAAAUCCCCGAGCUUAACUUGGGAAUUGCAUUCGAUACUGGUUAGCUAGAGUGUGGGAGAGGAUGGUAGAAUUCCAGGUGUAGCGGUGAAAUGCGUAGAGAUCUGGAGGAAUACCAAUGGCGAAGGCAGCCAUCUGGCCUAACACUGACGCUGAGGUACGAAAGCAUGUGGAGCAAACAGGAUUAGAUACCCCAGUAGUCCCUGUCUCUUAUAC